AGAACCCGGGACUUCUGACUCCCAAGCCUGUGCUCUAUCCACUAGGCCACGCUGCUUCACAUACACAGGACAUUGGCGUGACGUAUCCUUCCCAGCCACUGAGUUGAACCAUUCCAACCUUUGUGUUUUUUUGCAUUUUUGCCACUUAGCAGAGGAUGUUCCCUGAUCUGAGUAGGGAAGAACAAAUCACAAUCAGGGCACAUUCCAGAAUGCCCAGAA